GCAUUACACUAUAGCAUUCUGAAAACACAUGAUCUUAUCUGAUUUUGAAAGCUAAAUAGGGUCAGGUCUGGUCAGAAUUUGCAUUGAAGACCACCUGGGAGCACCAAGGAUCCU
rnacentral:rRNA from 1 species